rnacentral:rRNA from 1 species
GACGAACGCUGGCGGCGUGCUUAACACAUGCAAGUCGAGCGGUAAGGCCCUUUCGGGGGUACACGAGCGGCGAACGGGUGAGUAACACGUGGGCGACCUGCCCUCAGCUCUGGGAUAAGCCUGGGAAACCGGGUCUAAUACUGGAUAUGACUCCAUGACGCAUGUUGUGGGGUGGAAAGCCUUGUGCGGCUGAGGAUGGGCCCGCGGCCUAUCAGCUUGUUGGUGGGGUGANGGCCUACCAAGGCGACGACGGGUAGCCGGCCUGAGAGGGCGACCGGCCACACUGGGACUGAGACACGGCCCAGACUCCUACGGGAGGCAGCAGUGGGGAAUCUUGCGCAAUGGGCGAAAGCCCUGACGCAGCGACGCCGCGUGAGGGAUGACGGCCU